rnacentral:rRNA from 1 species
GGCUCAGGAUGAACGCUAGCGGCAGGCUUAACACAUGCAAGUCGAGGGGCAUCGGGAGUAGCAAUACUGCCGGCGACCGGCGCAAGGGUGCGUAACGCGUGAGCAACAUGCCCGUAUCAGGGGGAUAAUCCAUGGAAACGUGGUCUAAUACCCCAUAGUAAUUAUGUAAGGCAUCUUAUAUAAUUUAAAGCUUUGGUGGAUACGGAUUGGCUCGCGUGACAUUAGCUAGAUGGUAAGGUAACGGCUUACCAUGGCUACGAUGUCUAGGGGUUCUGAGAGGAAGGUCCCCCACACUGGAACUGAGACACGGUCCAGACUCCUACGGGAGGCAGCAGUGAGGAAUAUUGGACAAUGGAUGGAAAUCUGAUCCAGCCAUGCCGCGUGCCAGGAAGGACGGCCCUAUGGGUUGUAAACUGCUUUUGUAUGGGAGCAAUAAGGGCUACGCGUAGUCCGAUGAGAGUACCAUACGAAUAAGCACCGGCUAACUCCGUGCCAGCCGCCGC